UACGUAGGGGGCAAGCGUUGUCCGGAAUUAUUGGGCGUAAAGAGCGUGUAGGCGCCAGAAAAGUCCGCUGUGAAAACUCGAGGCUCAACUUCGAGCUGUCGGUGGAAACUUUCUGGCUAGAGUCCGGAAGAGGAGAAUGGAAUCCUGGUGUAGCGGUGAAAUGCGCAGAUAUCAGGAAGAACACCCGUGGCGAAGGCGGUUCUCUGGGACGGUACUGACGCUGAGACGCGAAAGCGUGGGGAGCAAACAGG
rnacentral:rRNA from 1 species